CGCGGGCGCGGGCGGGGGCGGAGCGGCGGCUGAGGUUGGACGCGACGGCGCAGAGCCCUCUCGCGGCCGCGGCGGCAGCAGCGCCAGCCCCAGCAGCAGCCCGGCCGCCGCUGCCGCCGCCGCCUAGCGCUCCCGCUGCUCAGCUUGACAUGAGUGAGGUGGAUCGGGUGCCCUCGCCCGCCGCGCCGCCGGCUGUGGCGGCGACUGCGCCCGAGGAGAAGAAAGGGAAGGAACCGGAGCGCGAGAAGCUGCCGCCCAUCGUGUCGGCUGGCGCCGGUGCGACUGCGGGUUUGGACAGGGGAUCCAAAGGCCAGAUUUCUACUUCCAGCAGUUUUGUUUCAACUGUUAACCAGAAGAAAGAAGCCGCUGAAAACAGAAGUUCACCUACACAUCUUGUUUUCCCUAACAUCAAGAAUGUGAGAGACCUACCACCAAUUUGCCUUGAUGUUAGACAGAAACAGCGCACCUCUACAGAUGCUUUAUCAUCUGAAAUGAAGACCCCGGUUCUUCCAGAACCCAUCCUUCCCAUUCAGCCGAAAACUAUGAAAGACUUUCUGGAAGAUGUAGAGAAAGCUAAGUCAUCAGGAGAUUGGAAACCAGUACAUGAUUUUUAUCUCACAAUGUUUGAUUCUUUCCCAGAACUAAAUGCUGCAUUUAAGAAAGAUGCCUCUGCCUCGUUUAAUACUAUCGAAGACUCUGGGAUUAAUGCUAAAUUUGUGAAUGCUGUAUAUGAUGCCUUACUUAAUACUCCUCAAGACAUUCAGAAGACAGUAUUAAAGGGAAUCAUUAACAGCCUGUUACGAGAAUGGAAAGGUCCACGAACAAAAGAUGAUCUUAGAGCAUAUUUUAUACUUUUACAGAAUCCUCAAUUUAAUAACACAUCUACAUAUGUCAUCUAUGCUCACUUGCUACGACAGAUAGCUACCUUAGUGGAAGCUGACCAUCAUUUCCUAGUUCACUGGUUUAAAAAAUUAUCCCAGAAGAGGUUCAAACAAUUGGUAGAGAGAUUGCUGCAGUUUAUUUCUUUACGCCUGUUUCCUGCAAAGCCUGAAGAAUUUCCACCUAUAUCAAAGUGUUCCUGGUGGAUCCCAUCAGCAUCUAAAGUGUUGGCUUUACUUAAUACUGCAAACAAUUUGGUUCAUCCUCCCCUUAUUCCUUAUACUGAUUUCUAUAAUUCUACAUUGGAUCAUAUUGAUCUCAUGGAAGAAUACCACACCUGGCAGAGCUUUGGAAAUUCUCACAGGUUUUCCUUCUGUCAGUACCCAUUCGUUAUUUCUAUAGCUGCAAAAAAAAUCAUUAUUCAAAGAGACUCAGAGCAACAGAUGAUAAGCAUCGCAAGGCAAAGUCUGGUGGAUAAAGUAUCUCGAAGACAGAGACCUGAUAUGAAUAUGUUAUUUCUAAAUAUGAAAGUAAGGCGGACACAUCUGGUCAGCGAUUCUCUUGAUGAGUUAACCCGGAAAAGAGCAGACUUGAAAAAGAAGUUGAAAGUUACGUUUGUAGGGGAAGCUGGUUUGGAUAUGGGCGGCUUGACUAAAGAAUGGUUCCUUCUUUUAAUUCGCCAAAUUUUUCAUCCAGAUUAUGGCAUGUUUACGUAUCAUAAGGAUUCAUACUGCCAUUGGUUUAGCAGCUUUAAAUGUGACAACUAUUCUGAAUUCCGAUUGGUUGGAAUUCUUAUGGGACUAGCUGUUUAUAACAGCAUUACUUUGGAUAUUCGUUUCCCCCCCUGCUGCUACAAGAAAUUAUUGAGCCCUCCCAUCGUUCCUAAUGACCAAAGUAUGCCAGUAGGCAUCUGCAGUGUUACCACUGAUGACCUGUGUCAAAUUAUGCCUGAGUUGGCCCAUGGAUUAAGUGAACUCCUGUCAUAUGAAGGCAAUGUUGAAGAAGAUUUCUAUUCAACAUUUCAGGUGUUUCAAGAAGAAUUCGGAAUAAUUAAGUCCUAUAAUUUAAAGCCAGGUGGUGAUAAAAUUGCAGUUACCAAUCAAAAUAGGAAAGAAUAUGUACAGCUUUAUAUUGACUUCCUUCUCAACAAAUCCAUCUAUAAGCAGUUUGCUGCAUUUUAUUAUGGAUUUCAUAGUGUGUGUGCUUCAAAUGCCCUAAUGCUGCUUCGUCCAGAAGAGGUUGAAAUUCUGGUGUGUGGAAGUCCUGAACUGGAUAUGCACGCCCUGCAGAGAAGUACUCAGUAUGAUGGCUAUGCGAAAACCGACCUGACUAUACGGAUUUUUGUCAAGACAUUUUAUAUAAAUAUCCUUUGGUGUUCUCUAGAUACUUUUGGGAUGUUGUGCUUGGAUUUCCUCUUGAUCUUCAAAAAAAGUUGCUACAUUUUACCACAGGAAGUGACAGAGUACCUGUAGGAGGAAUGGCUGAUUUGAACUUUAAAAUCUCAAAGAAUGAAACUUCUACUAACUGGUUGCCUGUGGCCCACACCUGCUUCAAUCAACUUUGCCUUCCCCCCUACAAGAGCAAAAAGGACCUGAAACAGAAACUGAUUAUUGGAAUUUCAAAUUCAGAAGGUUUUGGACUUGAGUAACCUAGAAGACUUGAAAUAUAUUUUAUAUGUAGCAUUCACUUCCCUCUUACUGUGCCUUUAACCUUUUCAUGUUUCUGUCUCAAAACACCUUGACAAAGCUCACCAACUUUAAAAUACUGAUUUUUUUUAAAAUCAAAUAUGAAGUAUGUUCAGUAGAGGCAUGGUUUUCUAAAAACACAACACUGCUUGAGUGAGAAAAAGACCAGAUGGCAGAGACAGGUGUGGGUCCAGUCCCUCUUUUUUAUAGCACUUUAUCAUUCUCCAUAAGUAGUUGUCACAGGUGUUCCACUGGGAGAGCAUCGUGCAGUAAAGAAUGCACAGAUGACAGAGUGGAGCCCAGUGGCACCUUGUGCGCUGCUAGCACACGGUAGCAACACAGAUAGCUACAUCAUCAUUAAUGUAAGGCAUGUAGCCAUAUUUUCAUAUAGCGGUUAAACAACAGUAUAAUUGCAAAUGCAAUUUACAGGGUUUUUUGAUAUACUGGCUUUGGUCCUCUAAGAUUCUUUUCAACCAUUGCUGAAAAGCGUGUAAAUAACUACAUAAUAGCCUGAGAAUAAUGGGAUUUUGAUAGUGCCAUUUAUUGCUAAAGAUUUAUUUUUACAAAGUAAAUUCAGGGUUUUAGAUGUGUAUACAGCUUUUACAAAUCAAUAAAGAUGAUUGUACAAGAGUGUAACUAUUUUCAGACUAAUUGGAUUCAAGGUUAUAUUCUUUUACAUAUUGUUAGUCUGCAUGCAUAUGCGCAGUAAGCUAGUUACUUUGAGCACUCUGUAAUAUUUGUAUAAUCAUUUCUUCUUAAGGGUCAGAAUAUUAUAUAGAAAGGAAGUAGAACUGACUAAUCACUGAUAAAUUAAGUCAAUUACAAGCACAAAAAAAGAGAACUGUUUUUAUAUAUACUUUGAUUGAUGUACAAGACUUAUUUCUAAUAUUUUUUGAUCACCAGUUGUACUGAAACACUAAUUUUUGGAAAAAAGUAGGAUAAGAUAUUUGACAAAAGUGAAUACAAUAAUAUUUGUGUCCAAAUGACGUAGCUUGGUGUAAACAUAAAGUUCAACAUUUUGGCCGAAAUGUUUGUUUUCCACUGGAUUCUGAAUAUAGCAAAUUCAAAAGUACCCUUUUUGGAGUUUCUUAAUAAAGUAGCAUGUAAAAGGAAACUGCAUUUUUUAAGUCAGACAGUAAAUGGUUUUCUUUUUAAUUUACAGCAAAUGAAGCAGUUUUAUUAGCAUGUUAUAGAUAUUUCCAAAUCAAGAAUUCUCUAUUAUACUUUGAUAGCUUUCCUUCAGAAAACUCUGAAUAUAUAUUUGCAAUAAUAAUGAAGCCAGCACUUAGUACCAGCACAUGGUUCACAUGCAAAUAAUACUUUCCCCAAAUUUUUUCUGAGUUACACUACUAUCUUAUUACUAUGCUUCCUACACCCCACCAGCAGAAUUCUUUUAGGGUGGAGGAACUAAUCAGCUUGUUCUGCUUUUCUUCUGAAGCCAACUUGUGAAUCUUAGAGGAAAAGGAGUUAGUUAGUUUACUGUUCUCUUGAGGCAGAAGUGACUCCGCUUUUCCACUUGGACAUACUAUUUAAAGGAUUUUUCUUACAAUUUUUGGAACACCUAAGAUUUAAAGGCAUGUUGGUUUUGUUUUGUUUGCUCUGUUUUUAAUCCAUAUGCAAAUAAAACUGCUUCUCUCUUAUACUGCUUGAACUAGAAAGUAAGAUUUUAACAUAGGUUACUACUAACUAAUAAGCACAAAAGAAUCAUGUGUAAGAAACCAGAUUUAAGUGUUUUAAAUAAAAUGUAAACAAAGUUUUUAUUUGGUAGAGAUGGAAAAAUUGUGUUGGUUUGGUCUGCAUGUUUAAUGAUGUGCUUUGUAUAUCAAUAGCUAUGUCAUUUUUAAAUAAAAGUACACAAGCAAGCCAAAUUUUUAAAUGACAGAGUCCAUAAAUAACUGGAAAAUUUUUGUUGUCUGUUGUUGAAAUUUAUAAUCAUUUAUCACUAAAUUGCACAUUGCCUUUAUUUAUUUAUGCUCUGGUUUUGGUUUACAGUGUAAUUAAUACCUCAUUUUUUAAAAGAACCACUACUGUUACAUUUCGUUAAUUUAAACAGCUAGAAAAUUCAUAUAGUUGCUUUUUUUUAUAUAUAAUCUGUUAAUGAAUUCUUGAUUUUUGUAUCUGCCACAGUAAAUUAAAGCAUUGCACAGUAUUUAUCAGUAUUUACAAAAUGUCCUGUCCUUUUUUAAUCUUUCCUUAAUUAAUCAUAUUUUUGUCUGUAUGAUCAGAAGUUUUAACAGUCCCUCUUUUUUGUACAAAUGUGUAUUGUAUUACGUUGUUAAUUUCUGGAUAAAUUUUUUUCAAAUAUUAAAGUUAUAUAAUCAGCCAGGCUUCAGUUCAUUUUUUGAACAUUAGGCAAUGAAUUAAAACCACAAGUUUAAAAUAUAAAUGUAAACUACUCUCUUUGUUACACUGUCUCUUAAACUGGUGCUUAGGAAAAUUGCUAAUACAUACACCUUCAAAAGAUAUGUGUUGUUGACACCAAAUAUAACUAACUUCUAGCAUUAUUUUUCAGUACAAAACAAUGUAUAGCCAAUGGCUGCAUGAUCACACAGAUAUUCCACCAAAUGAACGUUAUACCACCAUCAAGGCCACCUAGAAAUGAACUAAGUAUGACAUUUCAUUGGCCACCGAUAGACAACUUCAGAUCUUAAGUAUUCCCCUCCAAAACCAUUAAUUUGGCCCUUUUUUCCCGCAUUUUCUAUGCUUAAUGGAAGAAGAGAGGAGAUUAUGAGAAAGUAGGAGAGAAUGUCAUGGGUGAUGGAUGGAAGAAGAAGGUAGCUGGGUGGAAGACUAAGGAGAGUUUUCACAGGGGAGGGUACAAGAUCAAUUCACCCAGACCACACACAGCCUUUAGUCCAGUGAGUGGUUAAGAACUGUGCUUUGGAGCCAGACUACCUGGGUUUGAGUUUACUGUUCAAUAGUUGUGUUUCCUUGGGCAGGUUACUUAAUCUGCCCAUGCCUCAAUUAUCAAGUGAAAAUAAUUUAUAAAAUGGAAAUAAUAAACCUAUCUAUCUCUCUGAUAGGGUUCUAGGGAAGAAUAAAUGAAUUAAGAUGUGUAAAGAACUUACACAGUGCCUGGCAUAUAGUAAACCAGAUAAUGUGAUGCCAGAGGAACCGUGGUGCCAAUGGGAUUACAUCUUACAACCACUGCUUCUGAAGCCUUCUGGAGGUUUUUGACUCUCAGACAUCAGGUGCGAACGCAGAUUAAAGAACACAAAGUGUUUCUGAGGCAUUAAAAUUGUGUUAGGAGAAUAUUCUUAUUCUAGAAACAAUGCUUUAGGAUUUAUCCUUAUAGAUGUCUCAGUAGGCAAGGGCUUUUAAUACUGUUUUGCAGAUGUGUAACAAGAUGUCAUUUUAAAAUUCAAAACUAAAUGAGCAGUUUAUUUUUUUAGCAUCUUUGAGAAUAAUUGCUUUACAAUGUUGUGUUAGUUUUGAGUAGUUUAUUUUUAAUGAAACAUUUCAAAUAUAGAGAAAAAUUUCAGAGAUUAACUUAAUAAAACAUCACGUCCCCAACACUCAGAUCUAACAAAUGUUAACAUUCUGCCAGAUUUUUUUUAAAAAAUUAAAAAUUAAAGAUGCAGUGACAGCCCCUUUUUGUGCUCCUCUCCAAACCCAAUAUACUCACUCUUUUCCCCAUUAAGCUGCAGUUGGUGUGAAUCCUUCCCACACUGUCUUACAUUUGUACUAUACAUGUGUCUCUCUAAACACAGUUGACCCUUGAACAAUGCAGGGGUUGGGGUCACGACCAUCGUGCAGUCAAAAAAUCCAAAAUCUGCAUAUAACUUACGUGGUUCCUCUGUAUCCACAAUUUGCCAUCCUCAGAUUCAACCAACUGCAGGUCAUGUAGUGCUGUAGUAUUUACUGUUGAAAAAAUCCAUGUAUAAGUGGACCCUCACAGUUCAAACCCAUGUUGUUCAAGGGUCAACUAUAUAGUAUUGUUAUAGUUGCAUAUACCAUAUAUCAUACUCUCCCUAUCUUCACACAACUUUUUAUACUCAGUAUUGUCUUUUCUAGAUUUAUCCCUGAUUAUACAUUAAUUCACCCAUUUUAAUGUAGAAUAGAAUCCUGUUAAAUGAAUAUACCACAGUUUGUUGAUCCAUCCUCCUAAGAACUAAUGUUUCCAUGUUUUCUCCAGUGUGGCCCAGGCUGUGAUGAGCACCUUGCCUAUACUAAGUAUGCAUGUACAGUCCCCCAAGGUUGCAGCCCAGGUGUGGAGUGGCGGGAUCACAGGCUGCAUAUCUUCAGCUCUACCAGGUAUCAUCCAGCUGCUCUCCAGAGUAGUGCUUCCAGCAUGAAUUUCCACAUUAUAGGCGUUGUAAUUCUCCACAUUCUCCCAACACCAGGUUUUAGUAGAUUUUUUUUUUGCUAAUCUGACCAAUGUGUUUUAAUUUGUCUUUCCAAAAUUGAUAAUGAUGUUGCACAUUUUUGUAUGUUUACAGGCCAUUCGGAUGUCUUCUGUGAAUGGCCAGUUCAAUAUUUUUUGCCUAACUUCUAUUCUUUUCCUCACUGAUUUUCAGGAGUUAUUUCUUUAUUCCGGACAUUGAUCCUUUGUUAACGGUUAUGAGCUACAUUGCUUCAGUUUGAAUCCCAGAUCUGUCAAUGACUAUGUGACUUUGGACAAAUUACUUAACAUCUCUUGACCUCAGUUUACCUGUCUGUAAAAUAAAGAAAAUAAUAAUACAUAGCUCAUAGAAUUGUUAAAUAAGCCUAAGUAGAACAGAAGUAUAUAUGUGUGUGUAUAUAUAUGUAUAUAUCUUUUAUAUAAAUAUAAGUAAUGUGUGCAUAUAUAUGAAUUAGAUAUAUAGAUAUAUGCUUAUACAUAAAACAUAUAUAUACUUAUAUGAGACAUAGUUAACAUAUAAAUGUAUAUAUAUAAAGAAGUGCUUAUAUCAUGCCUAACCUAUAAUAAGCAUUAUGCGUUUGGUAUUAUUACUAUUACCUUAUUAUUAUAGCUCAUGCAUUGCAGAGAUCUAGUUGUGGCCAGACUUUUAUCUUUUAUAAUAUGAAUUUUUAAUACACUCCAUAAAAUAUUAUUCUAUAUAUUAAUAGUUUGUUUAGAUUUAACCACGUAUUUAUAGUUUCUUUGCACACCAUUCCCUCUUCUAUUGUUCUUCACAGCCACCCCUGGGAUCAAUUUUUUUCCUCCUAAAUUACAUGUAUUAGAAGCUGUUUUAAUGACAGUUUGUUGGUAGUAAAUUCUUUUUCCACUUGUCUGAAAAUGACUUUAUUUCACCUUUAUUCAUGAAAGAUAGAUUCAUCAAGCAUGCAUUUCUAUUGUGGUGCUUAUUGUUUUCUUAGGCCUUUUUUUUUUUCUUCUUCUUUUUGUGGUACACGGGCCUCUCACUGUUGUGGCCUCUCCCGUUGGGGAGCACAGGCUCCGGACACGCAGGCUCGGCGGCCAUGGCUCACGGGCCCAGCCGCUCCGCGGCAUGUGGGAUCUUCCCGGACCGGGGCACGAACCCACAUCCCCUGCAUCGGCAGGCGGACUCUCAACCACUGCACCACCAGGGAAGCCC